AUGAUCGCACAAAUGAGAAGAGUAUGAUACCAAUUUGCAAAAAAGACUAGUUAAAUUAAUUCAGAAUCGCGCAAACUGGAGGAAAUAAAGGAACCAAACCAGCCAGACAAAGUUUUCUCACAUAACUCGCCCUCCAGCACUGUCACAGGUUCCAAAAAGAUUAAUUAUAAAGUUAGGGGUCACCAUGCCCUGCUAUAAGCAUCAUGAUCGCACAAAUGAGGAGUGGGUGACACCAUUUUGCAAAAAAGACUUGAUAAAUUAAUUCAGAAUCGCGCAAACUGAAGAGGAAGUAAAGGAACCAAACCAGCCAGACAAAAUGUUCUCAACAUAACUCGCCCUCCAGCACUGUCACAGGUUCCAAAAAGAUUAAUUAUAAAGUCAGGGGUCACCAUGCCCUGCUAUAAGCAUCAAGAUCGCACAAAUGAGGAGUGUGUGACACCAAUUUGCAAAAAAGACUUGUUAAAUUAAUUCAGAAUCGCGCAAACUGAAGAGGAAGUAAAGGAACCAAACCAGCCAGACAAAAUGUUCUCAACAUAACUCGCCCUCCAGCACUGUCACAGGUUCCAAAAAGAUUAAUUAUAAAGUCAGGGGUCACCAUGCCCUGCUAUAAGCAUCAUGAUCGCACAAAUGAGGAGUGUGUGACACCAUUUUCAAAAAAGACUUGAUAAAUUAAUUCAGAAUCGCGCAAACUGAAGAGGAAGUAAAGGAACCAAACCAGCCAGACAAAAUUUUCUCACGUAACUCGCCCUCCAGCACUGUCACGGGUUUCAAAAAGAUUAAUUAUAAAGUUAGGGGUCACCAUGCCCUGCUAUAAGCAUCAUGAUCGCACAAAUGAGAAGAGAGCGACACCAUUUUGCAAAAAAGACUUGAUAAAUUAAUUCAGAAUCGCGCAAACUGAAGAGGAAGUAACGGAACCAAACCACCCAGACAAUAUUUUCUCACGUAACUCGCCCUCCAGCACUGUCACGUGUUCCCAAAAAAAUAUGAUGUAGAAAAUAAUUCUUUGAAUCCAUGUUUCCUCAAACAUUAGCUUAAAGCUUCCAAAUAGAGCCGCACCAAAAACCAAAAGCAGAACUAUAAUAAAUUGCUGAGAGGAUGAAAUCCAACGCAAGGAAAGGCAAAAUUCAAGGCAGGAUCUUCUACACGUCAAGAUUAGAACACAUAUCCAAACGAUUUCAAUCCUGGAAGUGACAAAAUCAACUGUCUAUCAUGUGAAUUUGAGUAAUUAAGCCAAAUUCAUAGUAAAGAUUUAAAGGCAAAUCAAACACGAGAGGCACAGAAGAUGAUCCAAACUCCAAACAUAUGCAACACGAUCUAAAACUAUUCAAUAUCAGGACAAGAUUUCGCAAAUCGAGAAACCCUACUUGCGUAGAGCAGGAGAACAAAAUCAUAAUUUACGGAUCGUAUGACAAAACCUAGUUUCCCCUCGUCGCUGAAACCCUGCAUCCACAAAUCGCUGAAACCAUAGCACCCACGGAUUGCUGAUACCCUAAUUAGCAAAAAGAUCGAAAGAAGUAAAAGAAGAAGAAAGAUACCAAGAACUUGAAGCCGAAGGAAAUACCAAGAGAGAAACUAGAUCAAUGCCUCGCAGGAUGGCUGGCAGGUAAAGAAUUGUAUGAAUGGGUGCCUCUAUUUAUAUAUCGAAGAGCUGGAGUUAAUGGCUGGGAUUAAUUUCUUAAUUACAA
rnacentral:lncRNA from 1 species